GUUAAAUAAAUGCAAUGGUUCUCUAUGCUAUGCCCCUCAGAGUCCUGAUGGGAAAUAUCUGGCCAGCGGAGCCAUCGAUGGGAUCAUCAACAUCUUUGACAUCGCCACUGGAAAGCUGCUCCAUACGCUGGAAGGUCACGCCAUGCCCAUCAGAUCCCUCACCUUCUCCCCCGACUCCCAGCUGCUGGUCACCGCCUCCGACGACGGAUACAUCAAGAUAUACGACGUGCAACAUGCGAACCUGGCCGGCACGCUGAGUGGACACGGCUCCUGGGUUCUUAACGUCGCCUUCUCUCCAGACAGCAAACACUUUGUCUCCAGGUAAAAUCAAAACAACCUCAUGUUCCGAC